rnacentral:rRNA from 1 species
GCUGGUGCAGGUGAAAGAAUAGCUUAUGGGGCUGGAGUCAAAGGAGCUUUCAUAGACAUAGAAAUCAUAAUAGAAAGAGCAGGCCUGCGAGCAGCGAGUGCCCUUUGUAAGUUGCGAGCCUGCCUUACCGCCCCCCCCCCUUUCUUUUUUGAAUUAGAAAGAAGGGGAUGA